rnacentral:rRNA from 2 species
CUGAACCAGCCAAGUAGCGUGAAGGAUGACUGCCCUAUGGGUUGUAAACUUCUUUUAUAAAGGAAUAAAGUCGGGUAUGCAUACCCGUUUGCAUGUACUUUAUGAAUAAGGAUCGGCUAACUCCGUGCCAGCAGCCGCGGUAAUACGGAGGAUCCGAGCGUUAUCCGGAUUUAUUGGGUUUAAAGGGAGCGCAGACGGGUCGUUAAGUCAGUUGUGAAAGUUUGCGG